GUACCAAAUUUCAGUAAGACAAUUUAGCCAUUAACCGUUCGAUUAUGUUGAAUUCUGUGUGCGAACUGAGCCCGAAAUGUUAUGUUUGUCUCGUCACCCCCGUCGCUUAGCCCACUGACACCUUGCUCGUCCACGUAUAGAUGAUAUAGACGCGAAUUGGCCCGAACCCGAAGUCUGAACCCAAAAACUCCGUUAGUCCUUUGUUGAUGGUAAUCGUGCAUUUGAGGCGAGAAAUCGAAAUCGUUAGCAUUCCGUAGAGGCAUUCGAGGCACGGAGCGAGCAUGUUCAGUAUAAGCGAGCUCUGUUGCAUGUUUUGCUGCCCCCCGUGUCCGGGUCCCAUUGCGGCCAAGUUGGCCUUCCAGCCGCCGGAGCCCACGUACAAAUUGACCCCGGCGGACGACACCAACAUCCGGUACAACCUGCAGUUGUUCGACCGCGCCGAAUGGCAGUACUCCGAACGUGAGAAAUCGAAAGUGGAGGCCUUCUUUACGCGCACCUCGCGUGGCAACCUGAUCACCUGCAUCUAUGUCAGGUGCAGCAAGAAUGCCAAGUACACGCUGCUCUUCUCCCACGGGAAUGCAGUGGAUUUGGGCCAGAUGAGCAGCUUCUACCUGACCCUGGGCUCCCAGAUCAACUGUAAUAUCUUUGGGUACGACUACUCCGGGUACGGAAUGAGUGGCGGCAAGCCCUCCGAGAAGAAUCUGUACGCGGACAUAGAGGCAGCCUGGCAGGCGAUGAGAACCAGAUUCAACAUCAGCCCGGAGACAAUCAUCUUGUAUGGGCAGAGCAUUGGCACUGUGCCCACUGUGGACCUGGCCUCGCGUCACGAGGUCGGCGCUGUGAUACUCCAUUCGCCGCUGAUGUCCGGCCUUAGGGUCGUCUUUAGGAACACAAAGAGAACCUGGUUCUUCGACGCCUUUCCCAGCAUUGAUAAAGUGGCUAAGGUGAAGGCUCCGGUACUGGUUAUCCACGGCACCGAUGAUGAGGUCAUUGACUUUUCCCAUGGCAUCGGAAUCUACGAACGGUGUCCUAAGACUGUCGAGCCGUUUUGGGUGGAGGGUGCUGGACAUAAUGAUGUGGAACUGCAUCCGCAUUAUUACGAGCGACUGCGCAAAUUUCUUUCGGUGGAACUCGUCAAAUGACAAUUAAAGAAUAAUGUGGACGGAGGCGUUAGCGACACUACAUCGGGCGUAAUAUCUAAUUCAAACCCUGCCGCCGGUAGUGCGUCCCUAAGUUCAAAGCACCCGAAUCCUGCCCCUGCGGCAGGAAGCGAAACAAGUAAAAAGAAUGUGGAAACAAAUGUCAAACGGAUUGAAAACGAUGGUGCCUCAAAUUCCAGCCAGAGUUCUGCUAAAGCUCUCGAGCAGAAGUUUCUUUAGCAAAAACAGUCGGGCUCGUAUUCAAAAGCCCAACCCUUCUCACCACAGUUCCCAAGCAGGGAACUAUCAAGUAAAUCGUGCGGAAACAGACAUAGUAAACAAAA